rnacentral:rRNA from 1 species
UACGUAGGGGGCAAGCGUUGUCCGGAAUCAUUGGGCGUAAAGAGCGUGUAGGCGGCUUGGUAAGUCCGCUGUGAAAGUCCAGGGCUCAACCCUGGAAUGCCAGUGGAAACUGCCAAGCUAGAGUCCGGAAGAGGCGAGUGGAACUCCUGGUGUAGCGGUGAAAUGCGCAGAUAUCAGGAAGAACACCAAUGGCGAAGGCAGCUCGCUGGGACGCGACUGACGCUGAGACGCGAAAGCGUGGGGAGCAAACAGG